ensembl:lncRNA
UUUAUUUUUUUUUUAAAUCGUGUGUGUGUGUGUGUGUGUGUGUGUGUGUGUGUUAAUCCCCGGGUUGACGGCUGCUUUUUGGUCUCUAAGCUGUUCUCAUCUCUACUAUCUCUGCUACAGUGAAGCUCACAGCCAACGAGAGAGAGGCAGAGAGUGUUUUCCCCUCUUCUCUUUCCCUCUCUGUCCUUUCCUCUAAUCCCCCCUCCCCAGUCUCUCUCCCUCCUCUCUAUUUUUCUCUCGGUGACAGGUCUCUCCCUCCUCUCUAUUUUUCUCUAGGUGACAGGUCUCUCCCUCCUCUCUAUUUUUCUCUAGGUGCCAGGUCUCUCUCUCCUUUUCUCUCGGUGCCAGGUCUCUCCCUCCUCUCUUUUUCUCUAGGUGCCAGGUCUCUCCCUCCUCUCUCUUUUCUCUCGGUGACAGGUCUCUCCCUCCUCUCUCUUUUUAUCUUGGUGACAGGUCUCUCUCUCCUCUCUUGCACUAUAUAGAGAAUAGGGCUCUGGUCUAAAGUAGUGCACUAUAUAGAGAAUAGGGCUCUGGUCUAAAGUAGUGCACUAUAUAGAGAAUAGGGCUCUGGUCUAAAGUAGUGCACUAUAUAGAGAAUAGGGCUCUGGUCUAAAGUAGUGCACUAUAUAGAGAAUAGGGCUCUGGUCUAAAGUAGUGCCACUAUAUAGAGAAUAGGGCUCUGGUCUAAAGUAGUGCACUAUAUAGAGAAUAGGGCUCUGGUCUAAAGUAGUGCACUAUAUAGAGAAUAGGGC